GCGUGUGUGAAGAAGGCCUGCGGGUUGUAAAGCACUUUCAGUAGGGAGGAAAAGCUUAAGGUUAAUACCCUUGAGUCUUGACGUUACCUACAGAAGAAGCACCGGCUAACUCCGUGCCAGCAGCCGCGGUAAUACGGAGGGUGCAAGCGUUAAUCGGAAUUACUGGGCGUAAAGCGCACGUAGGCGGCCAGAUAAGUCGGAUGUGAAAGCCCCGGGCUCAACCUGGGAAUUGCAUUCGAUACUGUCUGGCUAGAGUCUGGUAGAGGGUAGUGGAAUUCCCGGUGUAGCGGUGAAAUGCGU
rnacentral:rRNA from 1 species